AUGAGCCCGAUCUCUAACGUUACUCCUUCGGUCAUUAAAUAGAAAGCCCAGAUCAGCAUCCUUCUGGCCUUCCUCUCCAGGUCUUACAAUAUGUACUGAACCAAUCCAACCGGAAGGAACUACAAGGGCACAACUUGCUGGUGUUCAAAACCAAAUGCCACCGCCAAUCUCUGCCGCGCAGGGCUCUGAUGAUGACCAGUCACCUUCAUCUUCUGGUCCACCCGUGGAAAUCUCUGAUUCCGACCUCGAAAAAGAUGAUCAGGAAACUGAAAUAGAAGUAGAGGAAGAAGAAAUCGAGAAUGAUAACGAAGAAGAAGAAUAUGAAGAGAUUAUAGUAGUAGAGGAAGAAGAGAUAGAAGAAGAAGUUGAAGUAGAAGAAGAUGAUAUGUCAGAUUCAUCAAAGGAAGCUAAUGUCAAAAGUAAUGAUGUUAGUCAAGAUACGGAGUUUGAGGGGACUGACAGGCAAUUGGGAUUACGUUCUACUCCUGGAAGGUCUUCGCUGGGGCUACCGUCUAAUUCCCUUGUAGAAGAUGGUGUCUGUAAUUCCCAAUUUUCUGGUCCUUUGAAUGAACCAGUGAAAUUGCAGGAGGAAUUGCAUGUGAACUAUGAGGAUUCCAAGUGUCUUCUUAAAUCAGGAACCAAUGGGGAGAAUGGAAGUCAACGGUCUCUAGUUAAAAACGACACUGAGGCCCUUAUGAUAAAGAAAAAAUCUAAAGAAAUCAGCAAACACUAUAGUGAUAGCAUGGCUCAUUUUUUCAACGAUGAAGCUAUGGCUGCUGAGACCACCAGUCCAUCUAGUAUCACAGGAAAUGAGGUGUCUAAUGCCUUAGCUAUAAAAGACAGCUUAGGUAUGGAGACUAAUGGUAUUCUGGAUUCUGAGGUAGAUGUUAAUCCAAUGGAAAAACGGUCAGGGGAUAAAAAGCAAACAACAUCAAGGUUUUCCAGAUUGGUUACUUUGGAGAAAAGAACUCGAAGUCUAUCCCCUUCUGCUGAAUUCGAGGAUCAGAACAAGCGCCCAGCUGUUAUAUGUGACUUUUUUUCUAAAGGGUGGUGCAUUAGAGGUAGUUCAUGUACGUUCCUUCAUAUAAAAAAUAAAACUGUUAAUGCUAAAGAACAACUGGAGGGAGAUGCAGCUGCUGCAAAUUUCUCAAAAAGAGACCAGUUCGAUGAAGGUUUGAAAAACAUAACGGAAAAACCGAAGUUCCCUGGCUUUCCUGACCUAAUGGCUUCUUCAAUAGGAAAUAGUGCUGCAUUUUCUUGUCAGUUCUCUUCAGAAAGAAUCUUGGCACUUGAAAAUGGAGAAAGCCAAAGGUUGCAUCAGUUGGAUGACAAACAUAAGUCUUUAUCACUUCAGAGAGAGGACUUAUCUCAAGGUUUCCACUCUGACACACAGCAAUUUCCUUCAUCAAAAGAUGAUCAUGGCGUUUCUUCCUCCUUAAAAAAUGUAGGGAUAGAGAAUCUUAGACGAAGUUGGCCUGCUUCUGAUUAUGGUAGCUAUGCCUCUCCAAUUAAUAGAGGUAGCUCUCCCUCAUUCCAGAGCAGAUUGCUUCCUGAACUUAGAUAUUCUUCAAGUUUCUCAUCUGUAACAUCAAGCAAUAACCAUCGAGAAAAUUCUUUUUCUUAUUUGAGCAGUCUGGACAAUCUAACAUAUAUUAGAGAUCAAUUUGUGCAAGGUACAAGCCUGGAUGGUUCUCUAUCAAGUAGUGUUAUGUUGCCAUCUCAGCAGAUCUCAGCUUGGAAAGGACCAUCGUUUUCUUUUAGUUCCUCUUUGAAUACAAGUCCUUUUGGUUCUCAAAAGCUGUCAGACAAUGAUAGAAACUAUCAUGCUUCUAGAUCAUUACGGCAAAGUGCUUCCCUUCUCUUUGGUUCUGAGCGAGAAACUUCACUUCUAACCAGUGUAUCUAGGGAUCCAUUGCACUAUGCAGAACAUAAAGCAAAAAUUUCCUCAAAUGACUGGGAACCAUCCAUACCUUUUAGGCCAUCUUUUUCUAUCACUCAUACAAUGGCAUCAUCUCCUGGAAGCCAAUAUGAUCCUCUUCGUGAUAGCAUCGACUUAUCCACUACAGGAUACAGACUUCCCUUCAAAUUUUCUUUUGUUAGUCAAGAGAGAUCCAACCUUAAUUCAUCACAUCAACCAAUAUAUGACAACUCAUUAAGUAAAACCCUUGGAUCAGAAUGUCAUAAUGACAAAAGUACUGUGUCUCUUCAUGGUAGGUUCCAUGAAAAUGUGUUGGACAAGAAUUGCUAUACACCUGGAAAAGUGAUGGGGGGAACUUGUGUGGUCAGUGGACAAAAAGGAACCAUGCCCAAAGAAGAAAAUGCUUCAAGCAGCGGUCAUCUCAGUGAUGUACCAAAUACAAGCAAAAUUGAUGUUGAUUGUGAUUCUAGGCAUGAGUAUGAUGCGCCAAGACAUAAACAGGACUUCAAGGUAGAUAGGGUUAGGCAAAAGAAUGAAAUGGAUGUUGACCAAAAGACAGAUGGAGAAUCAAGAGUUCUGAGACAUUUUCGUGCUGCUCUUAUUGAUUUUGUUAAAGAAUUGUUGAGACCAACCUGGCGCGAGGGUCAUCUCAGCAAGGAUGCACAUAACACCAUAGCUAAAAAGGCAGUUGAAAAGGUUCUUCGCACCUUGCAGCCUCAUCAAAUUCCAACUACGGUGGAAUCAACUAGGCAGUAUCUUUCGUCAUCUCAACCCAAAAUUGCAAAGCUUGUUGAGGGAUACUGUACAAAGUAUGGGAAGUCUUGACAUGCCAGGCCUAGCUUUUUCUUUUUCUUUUGUACAGUUUCCUACACAUUCUAGUGUUUGAAAAUUGCAAGAGGCUUGUUUGACAUAAUUAAAACUGAGAUUCAGGUUGAAUGUUAUGGAUUUUUAUCAAAUGUUGUUAUUUAUGGAUUUUUGUUUCUUCCUAUCUGAUCUUUUUGAAAUGAAAUAUAGAAAUUAUAUCUGGUUGUAGUUUGGUUUUUGUGCCUUAAAAGAACAUCUUGUUUAUUGAAUACAGG
rnacentral:misc_RNA from 1 species